rnacentral:rRNA from 1 species
UACGAAGGGGGCUAGCGUUGCUCGGAAUCACUGGGCGUAAAGCGCACGUAGGCGGACUCUUAAGUCGGUGGUGAAAUCCUGGAGCUCAACUCCAGAACUGCCUUUGAUACUGGCGAGCUUGAGUUCGGGAGAGGUGAGUGGAACUGCGAGUGUAGAGGUGAAAUUCGUAGAUAUUCGCAAGAACACCAGUGGCGAAGGCGGCUCACUGGCCCGAUACUGACGCUGAGGUGCGAAAGCGUGGGGAGCAAACAGG